rnacentral:rRNA from 1 species
CCUACGGGCGGCAGCAGUGAGGAAUAUUGGUCAAUGGGCGAGAGCCUGAACCAGCCAAGUCGCGUGAAGGAUGACGGCCCUACGGGUUGUAAACUUCUUUUGUCAGGGAGCAAUUGGGUCCACGCGUGGGCUUAGCGAGAGUACCUGAAGAAAAAGCAUCGGCUAACUCCGUGCCAGCAGCCGCGGUAAUACGGAGGAUGCGAGCGUUAUCCGGAUUUAUUGGGUUUAAAGGGUGCGUAGGCGGACAGUCAAGUCAGCGGUAAAAAUGCGGUGCUCAACGCCGUACAGCCGUUGAAACUGGCAGUCUUGAGUGGGCGAGAAGUAUGCGGAAUGCGUGGUGUAGCGGUGAAAUGCAUAGAUAUCACGCAGAACUCCGAUUGCGAAGGCAGCAUACCGGCGCCCUACUGACGCUGAGGCACGAAAGCGUGGGUAUCGAACAGGAUUAGAUACCCUUGUAGUC